UACGUAGGUGGCAAGCGUUGUCCGGAAUUAUUGGGCGUAAAGCGCGCGCAGGCGGUCCUUUAAGUCUGAUGUGAAAGCCCACGGCUCAACCGUGGAGGGUCAUUGGAAACUGGGGGACUUGAGUGCAGAGGAGGAAAGCGGAAUUCCACGUGUAGCGGUGAAAUGCGUAGAGAUGUGGAGGAACACCAGUGGCGAAGGCGGCUUUCUGGUCUGUAACUGACGCUGAGGCGCGAAAGCGUGGGGAGCAAACGGG
rnacentral:rRNA from 1 species